rnacentral:rRNA from 1 species
UGGCGUUUUGAUUAUAAUUUAAGGUCUGACCUGCCCAAUGAGUUGUAUUAAAUGGCCGCGGUAUACUGACCGUGCAAAGGUAGCAUAAUCAUUUGUUUCUUAAUUGGAAGCUUGUAUGAAAGGUUUGAUGAGAGAAUAACUGUCUCUAGUUAAAUUUAUUAGAAUUUUAUUUUUAAGUAAAAAAGCUUAAAUAUUUAUUGAAGACGAGAAGACCCUAUAGAGUUUUACAUUUAUUUUAAAUAUAAAAUUUUAGAUUUUAAUUGUUGUAUUUAGGAUUGAGUGUUUAGUUGGGGUGACUGAAAAAUUAGAUAAACUUUUUUUUAAUUGAAACAUUGAUUUAUGAGUAAUUGAUCCAAAUUUUUUUGAUUACAAGAAUAAAUUACCUUAGGGAUAACAGCGUUAUUUUUUUUUAGAGUUCAAAUCGAAAAAAAAGAUUGCGACCUCGAUGUUGGAUUAAAAUAAAGAAUUGGUGUAGGGGCUAAUUUGUUAGGUCUGUUCGACCUUUAAAAUUUUACAUGAUCUGA